rnacentral:rRNA from 1 species
CCUACGGGGGGCAGCAGUGGGGAAUAUUGCGCAAUGGGCGAAAGCCUGACGCAGCGACGCCGCGUGAGGGAUGAAGGUCUUCGGAUCGUAAACCUCUGUCAGCAGGGAAGAACGGUCACUGUGCUAAUCAGCAGUGAAUUGACGGUACCUGCACAGGAAGCACCGGCUAACUCCGUGCCAGCAGCCGCGGUAAUACGGAGGGUGCGAGCGUUAAUCGGAAUUACUGGGCGUAAAGCGCUCGUAGGAGGUAUGUCAAGUCAAGGGUGAAAUCCCCGGGCCCAACGUGGGAACUGCCUUUGAAACUGGCAAACUGGAGUGUGUGAGAGGAUAGUGGAAGUCCAGGUGUAGGAGUGAAAUCCGUAGAUAUCACGCAGAACUCCGAUUGCGAAGGCAGCAUACCGGCGCUCAACUGACGCUCAUGCACGAAAGCGUGGGUAUCGAACAGGAUUAGAUACCCGUGUAGUC